UAAGGAAUAUUGGUCAAUGGAGGCAACUCUGAACCAGCCAUGCCGCGUGCAGGAAGAAGGCCCUAUGGGUCGUAAACUGCUUUUGAACAAGAGAAAACCCCGGUACGUGUACUGGGUUGAUAGUAUUGUUAGAAUAAGCAUCGGCUAACUUCGUGCCAGCAGCCGCGGUAAGACGAAGGAUGCAAGCGUUAUCCGGAUUCAUUGGGUUUAAAGGGUGCGUAGGCGGACUGAUAAGUCAGUGGUGAAAUCUCUCGGCUUAACCGAGAAACUGCCAUUGAUACUGUUAGUCUAGAGUACAGAUGAUGUGGGCGGAAUAUGACAUGUAGUGGUGAAAUGCAUAGAUAUCGUCAAGAACACCGAUAGCGAAGGCAGCUUACCAAGCUGUAACUGACACUGAGGCACGAAAGUGUGGGGAUCAAACAGGAUUAGAUACCCGUGUAGUCCCUGAGCGGGCUGGCAAGGCGCAU
rnacentral:rRNA from 1 species